rnacentral:misc_RNA from 1 species
GAUGAAGAACGUAGCGAAAUGCGAUAAGUAAUGUGAAUUGCAGAAUUCAGUGAAUCAUCGAAUCUUUGAACGCACCUUGCGCCUUUUGGUAUUCCGAAAGGCACACCUGUUUGAGCGUCAUGAAUACCUCAAUCUCCAUCUUUUCUUCGGAUUGAUGGGUGACUUGGAUGUUGAGCUCUGCUGGUAUGCUAUAUCAGCUGGCUUUAAACUUAUUAGCCGGCUCUGUACUGGAUCGGUUUGACUCGACGUGAUAAUAUUAUCGUUGAGGAUGCAUGUCUCAUGCAGCCGGAAAGUAUCAAAGCAGCUUCUAGCUUGCCUUUAGUGCACUUUUACAUUUUAGACCUCAGAUCAGGUGGGACUACCCGCUGAACUUAAGCAUAUCAAUAAGCGGAGGA